GAAAUUCAAGACAUGUUCCCUUUCAGUGUCACCUCAUUGCUCUGUUUCCCUCUUCCAGAAUGAAUACGUUUUAUUUUACAAACAGGAUGACUGGGGACUUAAAAACUGAGAAAUGGAGUUCCCGUUGUAGAGCAGCAGAAAUCUGACUAGGAGCCGUGAGGUUGGGGGUUCGAUCCCUGGCCUUGCUUACUGGGUUAAGGAUCUGGCGUUGCUGUGAGCUGCAGUGUAGUUUCCAGACAUGGCUUGGAUCCUGCUUGGCUGUGGCUGUGGUGUAAGCAGGCAGCUGUAGCUCCGAUUAGACUCCUGGCCUGGAAACCUCUAUAUACCUCAGUGUGGCCCUAAAAAAGAAAAAACAACAAAAAAACCUGAGAACCGCAGACAGCUGUUGGAGAAGUGAGGAUUAAGUCACCUCACCAGCGACACGUAGCUUCUGGAACAGGGUUUUAAGAGCAUAUGAGCAGCUUUACCUCAUUUGGAGAUAAAGUCACACCAAACACAUGGUGAAUUUCCGUGGUGCGAACCUCACUGAGCUGGAGGGCAGGGUGGGAAGUGAAGGGGUGCCUGGAAACGGGAGGAUGCAGGAGUCCAAGAGCCGAACUUACUGACGUGACAGUCUUACCUGGGCCGGCCCUGCCCUCGCUUAGAACAGUGGGAGGAGGCAGCCCCAUCCUGUUAGGAAACCGCUCCCUGUUUGGGGCUGCCGUCUCGGGCGUGCUGCUUGCAGGCUCAGGAGGAGCUGGUUCAGGGAGCUGGCGCUCUCCCCUAGCACCUGAGCCGGGGGAGCUGGCCUUCCCAGUUGGGUGAAGGCGUGCAUGCUCGUGCCAUGGGUGUGGGUGAGCUGUGGUGCUGAGGCUGUGAGAUCAGCCCAGCACUGGCUUCCCCCGCAACCUGGGGAUUGGGGUUCUCUGGGCAGGCAGGCCAAGUUGUCAUUAGGAUUCUCCAGUAGCGCCCUGGGUUGUUUUGCAGGGGAGGGUGCUUUUUUUCUGGUUUUGCUUUUUGACUGUUUUUUGGUUUGUUUUAGGGUCAUGACAGUCUAUGUGACACAUCUGAUCACCCAGCUUAGUCAAAAGUCUGUGGCCCUUGCUUUUUUUUUUUUUCUUUUUCCCCUUUGCUUUUGUGGCCGCCCUGAGGCGUGUGGAGUUCCUGGGCCAGGGAGCAGAUCAGAGCCGCAGCGGUGACCUGUGCCAGGUCGUUUAACCCACUGUGCUGGGCGGGGGACCAAACCUGCGUCCUGGCGCUGCACAGCCACCGCCGAUCCAGUUGCGCCGCAGUGGGAACUCUGGCCCUCGCUUUUUCGAGAAAGCACACCCUGGUUAGAAUGUCCUCGUCCCUCCCGCAGGAGCUUCGCUGCGGCGUCCGCACUUGCUGAACGAGUCGGCUCUGUGUCCACUGCUGUUGGCCGGUGGCCACCCAGGAAGAAAGUGGCCUCGCCAGGAAAGCAGCGAACUGGGCCUUGGCCAUGAGCCGGAUUCACUCCCCCAGCAUCUCUCUGAAAUGCCUUUGGGGGGUGUGAUUCUGGGGGGGCCCGAAGUGCUCCUGCCUCUGACGUCUGGGCACGGGCAACAAGGAGCAGAUUCUCAGGGGACAGCCAUCCAGAAUGAAACCCAGUUUCUCAGGGCGUCACAGAGGUGGAAAUCUGGCUCUAUGACCAGAACAGGCACAUCAGGAAUCCUGGGGGGAAAAAAAAUCCGCGAAGAUCUUAACGAUGGGAGAACAUUCUUGUAACAAAGAAAAGGCAAGCCCCUCCGAGACAGCAGGUGCAGAGAAGACCUCUGAAUGGCGCAUUUGGGGUUUGAAGUUUCAGCUGCUCCUAUCUUCCAGCCCAAGGGAGGCCCCGCCCGGCCUCCAUAGGGUCUCCUGGCCCAGCCACCUUCUGGUGGGCAGGUGCCAGCCAGUAGCAGCCUCCCGGCGGGCACAGGAAUCUGUCCUCCAGACGGUGGGGAGGAAGAAUCUGAGUAGAUGCGUUCGCAGGCCUCUGGCGGCAGCCGCUGGAGGCUGGGUGCGGGUGGGGCUGCCCAAGGCCCCCGGCUGCUGGCUGGAGCUGCUGUGGCGGUCACGUUGAGGCAGCACGUGCAGCGCCCGCGGGGGGGGGGGGGAACCCACGUGUCUCCAGACAAUAAAGGACAGUGAAGAAGGGCGCCCAGUGCUUGUGAACGGCGGGGUGGGGGCUGAGGGUGGCUUCAAGAGAAUGGGCACAGCCGAUGACUAGGGACUCCGGAUCAGGGAGAGACAGCAGUGAGUGAUGGCUUGAAGGAGAGCCUAAUUCUCUGCUCAGGAACAGCACCUGGGCAGCCUGGAUGAAACCCAGGAAUCCUAGUCCCUAGACCAGCUAGAGCCUAGAAGCGGAAUCGCCCUGAUUCUUGGCUGCUGGUGGAAAGAAGGUUUCAAGGAGGCGGAGACGGUAAAACCAGGUAUGAAGUUUAUUGUUAGAGACUCAGUACAGCAUGUGGGGGCGCACCCGGAGAAGUGGUUUAUUUAAGUCCGAAGCGAAGCAGUAACACACACCCUAAAGGGGAGCGCGGGUGUGGGCGCCCCCCUGAGCGAGGAGCGGACCAGAGAGGUGAUUUGAUCACUCAGGGCACAGUUCUUCCAGGUCUGUCUUUCCCUUUGGCUAAUUCCCUGGUGUCAUGUCUCACACCCGACUGCACCCAGCACCCUCCUCGGGAGGCGGGCGCAUCUUGUGACAAAGGUGGGGUCCGGAGCAAGGGCUUCUGGGACGGUAUCCGGACGGACUCCAACCUGGCGCCCCCUCCCUUUCAGACCCCUAGGGGUCUUACUGCGCAUGUGUAGUUGGGGAGGCUCCUUGACCCCGGAGGGGUUGAAGCGGUCCCCUUAGCUUUCUGCUCCAGCAGAGCUCAGCUGCUGCAAUGACUUUCUCCGUGGCGUGUCACACAGAAGCCAGGCCCGUGUCCUCGGCCCGACGAGCCCCAGCCGUUCUCGGCCCGGGGCCCGUCUGCCUCCUGCCUCACCCUCAGGAGCAGAGCCCGCAGCCGGGCCUGGCCUCACCCGCCUGGGUGGCCCACUGGGUGGAUGGAGGUGGGAGAGGGCGAGGCCCUCGGCUGCGAUGGUCUUGCUCUCCUCCUCCAAGCAGGCCAGGAAGACGGGGAGCGCCGGGCACGGGCAGCGCUUACGGCACCGCCCAGCUGAGGCCCAGCUGAGGGCAGGGCCUAGACUGUCAGAGGCUGCGCUGUGGGUGUGGAAACAGGACCCACCUUCUGAUGGUCUGUUAGGAUCUUUCUCGGAUGGAUUUCUUUCUUUUUCUUUUUUCUUUUUUUUCUUUCUUUCUUUUUUUUUUUUUUUUUUUUUUUUGCUUUUUAGGGCUGCAUCCACAGCAUAUGGAAGUUCUCAGGCUAGAGGUCAAAUCAGAGCUGCAGCUGCCAGCCUACACCACAGCUCACAGCAACGCCAGAUCCUUAACCCACUGAGCUGGGCCGCAUCCUCAUGGAUACAAGUCAGGUUCUUAACCCACUGAACCACAGUGGGAACUCCCCAGAGGGAUUUUAGAGGCUCUCUGCUGCACACAAUUCUAAGAAGACCAGGAGCAGGUGGCAAGUUCUAGAUGGUCAGCACUGCUCUGCUUCUGAGGAUGAUGGUCCGGCUGCAGCAGCUUGACUGCCCUCACAUGUGAGUGGCUGGGCUGCUGUGGGGCUGCUUCCCGGCCUCCAGAGGCCACGCAGCUGCUAACAGGCCUCUGAGCACCUGGGAGUCUGUUCUGGGUUCUGUAAUGUGGGUUUUUGCGAAGUAGGAAAUGUGAACAGCUGAAAAAAUACUAUCCAUCGUCGACCUUGCUCUAGUUUCUGAUCCUUGAUCCGUUUUUUUCCUUUUUCAGCCACACCUGCGGCCUGUGAAAGUGCCUGAGCCAGGGACUGAAUCCAAGACUCAUCUGCGAACUGUGCCACAGCUGCAGCAAUGCCAGAUCCUUAACUUACAGUGUCACAGCGGGAACUCC
rnacentral:lncRNA from 1 species